rnacentral:rRNA from 1 species
UAAAAGAAUUAAUUUUUAGUAGCCCCUGCUCAAUGAAACAUUAAAUAGCCGCAAAAUUUGUGCUAAGGUAGCAUAAUCACUUGCCUAAUAAUUAUAGGAUAGAAUGAAAGGGUCAACAUGUAAUCUUCUUUAUUAAGAAAAUUAUUUUAAUUUAUUAAGUAAGCAAGAAAUCUUACUUCCCUAGGGGGACGAUAAGACCCUGUCAAACUUCACCUAGAAGGUUUAGCUGGGGCGGCAAAAAACUAAAUCUUUUCAAUUAUAAUUUAAUUAAACCUGAAAUUCAGAUAAACAAGUUACUGCGGGGAUAACAGCACAAUCAUCUUUUAAAGAUCUUAUAAAAAAGAUGGCUUGUGACCUCGAUGUUGAAUUAAAGAUCUUUUAGAGGUAGUCCUCUGAAAAGAAAGUCUGUUCGACUUUUAAACCAUU